rnacentral:lncRNA from 1 species
CACUGAGUCUAAUUACUCUAAUUACUUCUUUAUCUUCCUCCUCUCUAAAACGCAAAACCCAAAAACCACCCAAAUAGAAUCAGAAUGAAUUCGAGUCAUGGAGAAAUUGAAAGUGACGAAAAUGAAACUCCAAGACACCAAUGGAUGGACGACGGCAAGGAUGUGGGAGAAGGAUUUAUAACAGUUUCGAUCGAGGAGGUAUAGGUUUUUUAUCCAUUUUUUAAAGUUUGGGCGUAGGUCUAAUAACUACUGUUUUUAGCCACAGAUUUGAUUUUUCAUAGCUAAACAAUAGUCACUGUAUUUUAAUUUAGCCAUGGAUAAAACGUGACUAUUUUUGAUAAUCGGUAAACUAAACGAGUUAUUUUUUUUUAAUUAGUUACGACAAAAAUCA